UACAGAGGGGGCAAGCGUUAUUCGGAAUUAUUGGGCGUAAAGGGUGCGUAGGUGGCGCCGUAAGUCAGGUGUGAAAUUUCGGAGCUUAACUCCGAAACUGCAUUUGAUACUGCGGUGCUUGAGGACUGGAGAGGAGACUGGAAUUUACGGUGUAGCAGUGAAAUGCGUAGAGAUCGUAAGGAAGACCAGUGGCGAAGGCGGGUCUCUGACAGUUCCUGACACUGAGGCACGAAGGCCAGGGGAGCAAACGGG
rnacentral:rRNA from 1 species